rnacentral:rRNA from 1 species
GACGAACGCUGGCGGCGUGCCUAAUACAUGCAAGUUGAGCGCUGAAGGUUGGUACUUGUACCAACUGGAUGAGCAGCGAACGGGUGAGUAACGCGUGGGGAAUCUGCCUUUGAGCGGGGGACAACAUUUGGAAACGAAUGCUAAUACCGCAUAAAAACUUUAAACACAAGUUUUAAGUUUGAAAGAUGCAAUUGCAUCACUCAAAGAUGAUCCCGCGUUGUAUUAGCUAGUUGGUGAGGUAAAGGCUCACCAAGGCGAUGAUACAUAGCCGACCUGAGAGGGUGAUCGGCCACAUUAGGACUGAGACACGGCCCAAACUCCUACGGGAGGCAGCAGUAGGGAAUCUUCGGCAAUGGACGAAAGUCUGACCGAGCAACGCCGCGUGGGUGAAGAAGGUUUUCGGAUCGUAAAACUCUGUUGGUAGAGAAGAACGUUGGUGAGAGUGGAAAGCUCAUCAAGUGACGGUAACUACCCAGAAAGGGACGGCUAACUACGUG